ACUUUGUGGAUGGCCUUGUAUGUAUUCUACAAAGCCUUGUUUACUUCUGUUUUGCCCGUAGCUGUGCUGACUUCUCCGGCACAAAAGGCUGCCUUUUGAUUCCGAUGAAGGGCACUGACAAUUCUACCCACGCCUGCAUUCACAACCUUACAGAACGCCUGUCAACAUCCAAGCUGCCAAUGGGUCUUAAACCAGGUGACCUGAAGAAUACCAGAUUAGAGAGAUGGGCCGAAACUAACAAAAUGAAGUUCAACAGGGACAAAUGCAAGAUACUUCACUUCGGCAGAAAAAAUGGAAUGCAAAGAUACAGAAUGGGGGACGCCUGGCUCGACAGCAGUACGUGUAAAAAAGAUCUUGGAGUCCUUGUGAACAACAAGUUAAACAUGAGCCUACAAUGUGAUAUGGCAGCGAAAAAAGCCAAUGGGAUUCUAGCCUGCAUAAAUACGGGUAUAGCAUCUAAAUCCAGAGAAAUCAUGCUACCCCUCUAUUCUGCCUUGGUCAGGCCACAUCUGGAAUACUGUGUCCAAUUUUGGGCACCACAGUUGAAGGGAGAUGUUGACAAGCUGGAAAGCGUCCAGAGGAGGGCAACUAAAAUGAUCAAGGGUCUGGAGAACAAGCCCUAUGAGGAGCGGCUUAAAGAGCUGGGUAUGUUUAGCCUGCAGAAGAGAAGGCUGAGAGGAGACAUGAUAGCCAUAUACAAAUAUGUGAGGGGAAGUCAUAGAGAGGAGGGAGCAAGCUUGUUUUCUGCUGCCCUGGAGACUAGGACGUGGAACAACGGCUUCAAACUACAAUAAAGGAGAUUCCACCUGAACAUGAGGAAGAACUUCCUCACUGUGAGAGCUGUUCAGCAGUGGGACUCUCUCCCCGGACUAUGGUGGAGGCUCCUCCUUUGGAGGCUUUUAAGCAGAGGCUGGAUGGCCAUCUGUCGGGGGUGCUUUGAAUGAGAUUUUCCUGCUUACUGCAGGGGGUUGGACUGGAUGGCCCGUGAGGUCUCUUCCAACUCUACGAUUCUAUGAUUCUAUGUUUUUAUUCUUUGUAUUGUAUAUUGGCAUUGAAUCUUGCCAGACUGUGAGCUGCCCUGAGUCCCUUCGGGUGAGAAGGGCAGCAUAGAAAUGAUGGAAAUACAUAAAUAAAUAAAUUUUACAGUUCAGAAACCUAGUUGCCUUGCAG
rnacentral:lncRNA from 11 species